UGCGGUGCGCGGCGGUCGCUGGCACACCAGACGAGCGCAGACGGCAGCAGACAGCACUUGAGCGCCGCCGCUCUGGUGAAGUGGAGGGCGCAGCGGACAGUAAAGCACCUGCUGGAGAGACAGGAGACCGAGUGUGGUGUGACAGAGGCAGCAGCAGCAGCAGCAGCAGCACAACAGCUGCCGGAGACAGGAUGAGGAAGAUAUCCCCAGGAAGCAGCUCCGUGACAGCUGUCUAACUCCCAGUCGGGUUCUCGACCCACAAUCGGGAAUUCCAGGUUCGAAUCUCGGGCGAGUCCUAUCACCUAAUGCAACUGUUCAUCUAACAGUAAGUAGAUACCCAGUAAUUAGUCAUCUUGUUGUGUGAUUGUAUCCUGGGAAGGGUCAGUAGUUCGUCCUCAGCUGCGACC